rfam:Gossypium arboreum cultivar AKA8401 contig_37719_1, whole genome shotgun sequence.
UGUUAAAAAUUUCAUUCAUUUGUACUAUUAAAAACUAGAUGAAAAACCAAACAGUGAGAUGUGACAUGCCAUGUGUAUUUUAUGUUGAUAUACAGGGACCAAUUUUCAACAGAAAAAAAAGGAUGAAAUUUUUAACA